rnacentral:tRNA from 1 species
CAAAAGCAUCGACAGGCGGAACGACUCCUGUGGAGGGUCGGUCAUCGUUGUCAUGAGGUUUUCCCCGUGGUUCCGGCCUUGGUUUUUAC